UACGUAGGGUGCAAGCGUUAAUCGGAAUUACUGGGCGUAAAGCGUGCGCAGGCGGUUUUGUAAGACAGGUGUGAAAUCCCCGGGCUUAACCUGGGAACUGCAUUUGUGACUGCAAGGCUGGAGUGCGGCAGAGGGGGAUGGAAUUCCGCGUGUAGCAGUGAAAUGCGUAGAUAUGCGGAGGGACACCGAUGGCGAAGGCAAUCCCCUGGGCCCGCACUGACGCUCAUGCACGAAAGCGUGGGGAGCAAACAGG
rnacentral:rRNA from 1 species